rnacentral:rRNA from 1 species
UACGUAGGCAGCGAGCGUUGUUCGGAUUCAUUGGGCGUAAAGGGUGCGUAGGCGGCGCGGUAAGUCGGGUGUGAAAUCUUGGAGCUUAACUCCGAAACUGCAUUCGAUACUGCCGUGCUUGAGGACUGGAGAGGAGACUGGAAUUUACGGUGUAGCGGUGAAAUGCGUAGAUAUCGAGAGGAACACCUGCGGCGAAGGCGGGUUGCUGGGCUGACACUGACGCUGAGGCGCGAAAGCCAGGGGAGCGAACGGG